GACGAACGCUGGCGGCGUGCUUAACACAUGCAAGUCGAACGGAAAGGCCCUGCUUUUGUGGGGUGCUCGAGUGGCGAACGGGUGAGUAACACGUGAGUAACCUGCCCUUGACUUUGGGAUAACUUCAGGAAACUGGGGCUAAUACCGGAUAGGAGCUCCUGCUGCAUGGUGGGGGUUGGAAAGUUUCGGCGGUUGGGGAUGGACUCGCGGCUUAUCAGCUUGUUGGUGGGGUAGUGGCUUACCAAGGCUUUGACGGGUAGCCGGCCUGAGAGGGUGACCGGCCACAUUGGGACUGAGAUACGGCCCAGACUCCUACGGGAGGCAGCAGUGGAGAAUAUUGCACAAUGGGCGGAAGCCUGAUGCAGCAACGCCGCGUGCGGGAUGACGGCCUUCGUGUUGUAAACCGCUUUCGCCUGUGACGAAGCGUGAGUGACGGUAAUGGGUAAAGAAGCACCGGCUAACUACGU
rnacentral:rRNA from 1 species